UAAUUUAUAUGGCUUCACAAUCAAAACACUGAAACACAACAAAAUGCAUUUAGAUAAUUUCUAGUUCAGAAAAAUUAUUUAAACGAUGCUUAGGGGAAGUCAACAAAAAAGGUCAAACAGCCAGGCUCCAUAGGAAAUGGGAAGAGUAUAUGAGCUAGUGUUUUUAGAAAUUUUAUUGCCAAAUUUAACUUGAUUUAACAAAUGCAGAUGUUAUACUUCAUAUCAUUAUUGGCAUGUUUGGCAGGGAGGGUAUGAUAGGACUGGACAUUAUUAUGGAAGAAAAAGAAGCAGAAAUUUGUUUAUUAUAUUGUCUAGUCUUUUCGAGUUCUGCGUAUGAAAAU
rnacentral:lncRNA from 1 species